CCUACGGGUGGCAGCAGUGGGGAAUAUUGGACAAUGGGGGCAACCCUGAUCCAGCCAUGCCGCGUGUGUGAAGAAGGCCCUCGGGUUGUAAAGCACUUUCAGUGAGGAAGAACGCCUGGUGGUUAAUACCCAUCAGGAAAGACAUCACUCACAGAAGAAGCACCGGCUAACUCCGUGCCAGCAGCCGCGGUAAUACGGAGGGUGCGAGCGUUAAUCGGAAUUACUGGGCGUAAAGCGCGCGUAGGUGGCUUGAUAAGCCGGUUGUGAAAGCCCCGGGCUCAACCUGGGAACGGCAUCCGGAACUGUCAAGCUAGAGUGCAGGAGAGGAAGGUAGAAUUCCCGGUGUAGCGGUGAAAUGCGUAGAGAUCGGGAGGAAUACCAGUGGCGAAGGCGGCCUUCUGGACUGACACUGACACUGAGGUGCGAAAGCGUGGGUAGCAAACAGGAUUAGAUACCCCAGUAGU
rnacentral:rRNA from 1 species